UUAAUUUGAGAGUUUGAUCCUGGCUCAGGACGAACGCUGGCGGCGUGCCUAAUACAUGCAAGUC
rnacentral:rRNA from 1 species